AUUCCUAUCUAAGUAUGAUUGAAGAAAUGUGGGCACAGACAGAAGACAUGACCUGCAAAACAAAGAGGAAAAAAAUCACAUGGAACCCAGAUCAUCAGAGGAGGUGAGAGAGAGUUCCAUGGAAGUUUGCAGAAGGGACAGUGGGACCCCCCAGCUGGCUGGACUUCAUUCUUCUGCCUGAAGGUAGUUUGAAGACAGACCACUUCAUCUCCUCUCUGGCCAUUGGCUUUUUACUUCUAUUGUGAACUGAAGAAAUAGUCUUGCCCAGAAAAGACCCUGGCAGGGUUAUUGCCAUCUUCCCUCUGAGGAAGAUAUUUCAUUUCUUUUUUUUUUAAGAGACUUAUUUCAAAGCCUUCAACUAAUACUACUACUUAAAAAAAUUAGGGAAACCUUUUCCCCUCUUUCCCAACCUCAUCAUUAUUCCCUUCUCCCCCAAAGAAUAAAAGAUCCUAAAGAAAUUAGUUUGAAGGAUUAUUGUUAUUAGAGAGAGGAAUUUGACUAACCAUCUGUGAGGAAAACCUCCAUUAGAUUACUUGGUGAAGGAAGAACAGGAAGUAGGGGAGGGGGGCUCAAGAUUCAGUUUCUUUCAUUUAAGUACUUUCUGGUGUGACAUCUUUUGAUUUCCCCUCUUUAGGACAUAAGGAAAUGUUUGAUUCCUGACUAAAGGAGAGCAAGAAAGGGAGUCAUGAAGGCUAGCCAUACUGUUCUCUGAGUGAAGUACUAGAUUGGAAUUGUAUCUCUUUUCCUCCCUAAAUAUUGAUAUUUUAUGGGGUCUUAAAAAUGUUCACACUUCUCUCCCAUUUACUAUCAUUCUCAUAAAGGAGAAGUAGCUCCAAAAUUAUAUUCACACAUCUGACUUUCCCACCAAAUACCAGUUACACAAAAGACAAACUGGUAAGUAGGAUAUAAACUUAUCUAAGCAAAUAGCAAUCAGAAAAUACAAAGAAUGCAAAAGCUCUCCUAUUGGGAGUAAGGUAUCACAACUAAAUCAAAAAGAGAUAAGCAGGUCUUAUUCUAGAAGAAGCUCCCCACAGGCACUAGGGAGCCAACCUAGCAAUGAGAGACAUAGGGAGGAGCAGGCUUUCCCAACAUGUCUGCUUUCAGCAUUUGGUUUUUAUUUUUCUCCACCGCUGAGGAGAGCCAUAUGCAAAAUGGUCCAGGCUUAUAGCAAGUGUUACAUAAAUAUAAGCUAUAGAUCUUUUACAAGUUAGUUGAGUAUGAGUGAGGACACUAACACUGGGGUGGGGACCUUAUAAGAAGUGAGGUUUAAAAGAGUAUAGGGAAUCUAAGAAGAAGAUAUGGGGAGAGGUUCUACUCCAGCAUCUGCAGAAGCAUGGAGAAGGGAGAUAGGAAUAACAGGGACUACUUUGGUUAGAAUACAGAAUGAUUAAGGAGGAUAAUAUGAAAGAGGUCUUGAGAGGCAAGCUAGACAUAGAUUGUGAAGGGGCUUUAAAUGCCAAAUAGUCAAGUUUGUAUCUUAUCCUAGAAACAACAGGAAGGCACUGGAGCUUUAUGGGUAGGAGCAAAUGCCAAAUUUUAGGAAUAUCAACUUACUAACUAGUGUAUAAUGGUUUGGAGAAGGGAUAGAUUGAAUGAGGGGACAGUAAUUAGGAGGCUAUUGCAGUAGCAGAGGGUCUGAACUAGGUGAGAACUGGACAUAAGACAUAUAGUCCGAGAUCACUGAAGAUGAAGAAUUAAGAGAAAGUAAAGAGUUGAGGAUGGGUCAGAAGUUUUGAUCCUGGGGGUGAUUAGCAUUAUUGUAGUGUCUUUGAUAAAAACAGGGAAACUGAUUGGAAAAAAGAUUGAGGAAAGAGUGGAUUGGGUUCAAUUCAGAGCUUAUACACAACAGCAAAGAUGGUAUACACAUCUUCACUGGGAAGGAGAAGUUGGGCCAGGAAGAGAUCAAACAAAAUCAAGAUCUAAAAAAUUUGUAGAUUUUUUUUCUUUUGUGUUGAGGCCAAUGUGGUUUAAAUCAGAGAGGCAUAAUAGAAACAUUGGCUAAAAUGUUUUUGAAAGGAUUGACUGAGGCUUUUUAAAAUUUAAUGAAUCUUGAGACAAUUUUUGUGAAAUCAUUAUCCCAUUUUCUACUCUACUUAAAAAGAAAAUAUGAACUGGAUACAAUUCAAAGAUAUUUUUUCCAGAGGCUAGACUCAAUUUGAUGAAUUAUGGAUGUCGCAUUCUGUCCUGUCAAUCCUCCUAUCUUUAUACUCAAAAGUUCAGAGAGAUCUGACAUGUUCAGAGGUCUGUUUCUCUGUUCCAUUCAGUUACUCAAAAUUUGAGAAAGAUCCAUUAGAUUCAUGCAGUUGGACCAGAGGAGUGAGAACAAUUACCAGAGAUUCUUCAACUUCUUUUGGAAUACAAUUUGCAAAUGGAUAGCAAAGAAUUGUGUGAGAGAUUAAAUAUAAUUUCCCUAGAAAAGUGAAUAGUAAUGUAACUUUCCCUCAAAGGAUGUGGGUGGUCACACUAGCUCUUAUCAGAAAAGAAUAGUGCCUCUUUAUCUAUUAUUUUAUUCACCAAUGAAUCCUAUGUUGUUGUUGUUGUUGUUUUUCUUUCUAGCUUCAUAGGCUGAUGUAUGUAGGCUGAGGAACAGAAUGCUCUUGAUACUUUUUUUCAGGCCAAAACAAAUGAAUAAAGUUGAAAAGCUUAUAUAUCCCUGCCCUUCUACAAAGAAGAGAGGCUGCUGGCAUUGGAAUCAUGAAAACUUUGGUCCAUUUACUGCUUUUGGCACAUCUUGGUUUGAAGACUCUAAGUUGUUACUUAAUAUAACUUCUGAGCACUCCUAAUAAACUCUCUAAGAUUGGGGUUUUUAACCUGAAUUCCAUGAGGUUUUUUUUUUCCUAACAGUUUGUAGACCAAAUAUCAAUAAAUUGGUUCAUUUAAUAAUCUUGUGUGUUGUAUUUUAUGCUUUUAAAAUCAUUAUUUUGAGAAAAGGUCAAUAGGCUUCACUAUAUUUCCAAAGAGGUAAGUAGCACAAAUGAAUAUGAAUUCUGCUUUAAGAGUAUAAGUAAGUUGAAUACCAAGUACAGAUCUACAUUGUUAGAAGGAAUUUCCUCUUCAGGUACUCCCUCAACCAAUAGAAACUCAUGCCUGAUUUAAAAAUGUGAAAAUGAGAAAUUAAAUGAUAAUUUUAUUAGAAAAAUCAAAACAAUCUUCUGGGGAAAUAAAUAUGGUUCAAUUAGAAACUUAAAUUAAUGAGACCUUAAAAUUUCAAGGAUUAUUUUCUAUACAUAUUAGUUAAUCAAAAUAUAUACAUAUGAAUACAGUGAUUUUCCUAGAAACAGUGACUUUGAAGAAUAUAUUUGGGAUAUAUGCCUUUAAGAUCUCCUAAUUAAGAGAAAAAAAAUUUUAGGUGGGGCUCUUCAUGCUAGAGCUAUCCCCCUGUCAUAAAUACACCAAAGAAAAAGAUCCAAGUCCAUCAUUACCCUGAAUCAUGUGGUAAAUUCAUCAGAAGUUAUAGAAGGAAAUUAAUUCUGUUUCUAUCUUCAAAUAACCCCUACAAUUUAAGCCUCUCUUUUUUUCUCCUUAAUGGGCUGAUCCUCUACAUAUUUUAAAGCUGCAUGUUGAAUUAAGUUGAUUUAAUUGAAUUUAAUUUAGUUGAAGUUAUUGCUAUUGUCUGCCAUCUUCCUCAGAAGGAAGAUCCUUGAGAAUUGUUUCACAUUGUCUUUGUAUCUCUAACCAAAUUCUUUGUAUAUAUUUAUUUAACAAAAUUCUUGGUUUUUAACCAAUUAGUAAUUUUUAAUCUUGGAAAGUUUAGAGGUUCUUUGGAGUAACUUCUAGGAGAAAAUUAGGAAGAUAACAAUUGGACUUUGGGAAAUGUUUUCCUUAAAUGUUUAAUAAUAAGAAUGAGUUUGAUCAUAAUGACAUUGAAGGUAUUAUUUAAAAACUAGAGGGAAUGAGGAACUUAAUGCAUACCACUGAAGUAGCCAUUGAACUUAGACUUACUAAUAAUAUGGUAGUUAUUUUCUUUCUUGAAAAGUAGUUGCAGUGGCACUAUUUUCUGAAUGGUGUGGGCUACAAACAAUCAAAAAAAAAAACGGUUACUGCAUCAUAACAAAUGAGUCCAUUAUAGAAAAAGGGGAGUAGAAUGGGAUGUCUUGAGAUGUGGUGGAUCUCAGCUCCUUUAUGGUCAGCAAAGGUUGCUUAAUCAUGACUUGAGUUUGUUGUAGCAGGGCUUUAUUUUGGGGAUGAAUUGUAUUGGAUGGCUUUUGAGAUAUCUUCCAUCUUUUAAAUUCUACCAUCCUACAAUUUUGUGAUAUAGCUUUUUUUCCAGUUGGUGCAUCAUAAAAUUUUCUAAUCUCAUCAUUUCUUCGUCUUUCAAGACUUAAAUAUGAACUGGAUCUUCAAAAUAAGAGGAGGGAGGAAAAAAUCAGAAGACUAGGAAGGAAAAGAAGAAUAAAUUGUCUUUCAAUUAUUUCAGAAUAAGGAAGGCCUUUUCUAAUCACAAUAUAUAAUUCAGCAUUUUGAUUGUAAAUAAUUUAUAUUCAGGAAAGGGAAUAAAUACCCCAUAUGGAGGAGUUAGAAAACAACAGAGGAGCCCCUCACUAAGGAGAGACACAAACAAUGGUGCUGCUGAGAUUGCAGUGAAACUAGUGACUGAUUUUAGAAGGUGACUACAAAUAAACUGAAGGUGAAGAAAGUUGUCUGAACAAGGUUAAAGAAUAUUGUAGCAGCAGACAGACUUUUUAAAAUUGUUUCCUCAUUUAAUCAAAUUCUUUUGAGAUAAGGAACCAUCUUGUUUAUAAAUGACAAAAGAAUGACAAAUCUGAUCCUGGAUGCUUUUUUAGAGAUAUAUGUAUGUCGGGGUAGGGGAGGCAAGAGGGAAGAAUAAUGCUUUUACAGAGGUCCUAAUAGACAGUUACACUAGUAACUUAGCUGUACAAAAAAUAGUUGGUUCGUAUGAGAUGGUUAAAAGGCCAAAGAUAAAAGGUAUUUCUUUUUUUUCCUAUUUUUUCCUUUGUCUAUGAAGUUGCUCUUUGGGGGUUUUAGUUUUUUGUUUGUUUGUUUGUUUUUGUUUUGUUUAAACAUUUUUUUUGGCCUGUUUUAUGUAUGUGUGAAACCUGUUGUCCAACAAUAAACCAGAAUUUUAUUUUGCUGAGUUGUUCUAAAAAAAAAAAAGUAGUAGUAGUGGUAGGGUAGAGAUAGGGACUUUGCCUAUAAUAUCAUUGAAUCAGGGAACUCCCAGGUGAGGAAACUCCCUCUUUCAAUGCAAGUUAACAACUUCUCUACAAUUACAGGCUCAGAGACUUGUCUAGAGACUGGUAAGUGAUUUGCUCAGGGUCAACCAUCUAUGAUGUGUCAGACUUAGAACAUGAAUUAGGUCUUCCUUGCUCCAAAACCAGCUCUCUCUGUCUCCACUAAGUCUCUCUACCUUUCCAACACCACCACCAACACAAAUUGAUACUGAUACAAUCCUUGAGGUUGUCCAAAUACUUUACAUACUGUUGUGUUCUUUAAAGCCUUCAAAGUAAAAAAAAAAGGCAGAAGGUAUUGAGUUUUGUUAGCUUGUUUAUCACUCAAUGUAGACAAGGAAGAGAUCUCUGCAAAGAUACAAGUUACUCUAAGUUUGGUGAGGCUUCCUUAGGAGUCCAGGUUUAAUUAUCCUUUCUCUAGAUACAUCUUUUAUGUAUUUGAUCUCCUGUUACUAGUAUCUUCUUCCCAGAAAUCACUUUUAAUCUACAUUGAAUUAAAACAAGUGUCCAGGAUUGAUGGUUUCAUUGGUAUAGGGAAGUCCUGUUUAGGAAAUGCCCUCUUUAAUCCAGAUUUAUAAUUCCUCUGCAAUUUAUAAUCAGAAUUAAUUGGCAAGAGCAUUGUUAAUUGGUAAAGGCACAAGUUAAGUGACCCGACCAACAUCACCUGGCCAGUAUGUAUUAGAGGUAGGACUUGAUUAUGUCUUCCUCUUUCCAAAGUGAGCUCUGUACUUACUCUGCUCGACUGCCUUUUUGUAUACAGGGUAGCCCUAAAGUCUUAGCCUCAUGAGAUGCCUUGAAAUUUGUAUUUAAAAUUUCUGGGUACAUGCAGUUACUCUUUCUUCUCCACUCCUAAUAGAAUGUAACCUCCUUAAGGAUAGGAACUAUUUCAUUAGAAAAAUUAUAGCCCCAGAUUCUAACAGAACCUAGCAUAUAAAACGUGCUUAAUAAGUGCUUUUUGAAUGAACACAUAAUCAAAUUCUGGCUGGGUAAAGGGAGAGGAAUUUUCCAGGUUUGGUAAAUUGGAUAAUCUAGGUACUAUUUUAUAGAAAAUUUGGAUUUAAUGUUAUUUUCUUUUCUCCACUGUACACCAAUGCCAUGCCUUUGAUUAUGCUUUUUUUAGUCAAUGUUAUUAUUAUAUGAUUAUAUUUUGCCAUGCAAAUGAAUGGUAUUAUUAUGAUUAGUAAUUAUUAUUAAUAAUACCUUUUAUUCAAACAGAACUCUAUGGACUCCAAAGAGCUUUUAUAUCCUUUUUUAUUUUGUUCUUGACUUAGCAGCAGGUACAUGAACAAAUGUUUAACCUAAAGUCCCUUGAUAACACUCCUUCUGUAACCUAAAGGCAAGCAAUCUGCCAUAGAAAUCCCAUGUGAUACUUUGCAUUUCAUCUUCAUCUAGUCACCAUUUUGAUGCUUUGAUAUAUUCCCAUCUCUUCCACUUCUUUGAAUUUUCUGCUCUCUCCUCUGUGUGCCACCUUUCUCUAGCAAAGUUUAGGAUGAUCAAUCCCUGUCUGCAAAGUGGAUUGAAAUUCCUCAAUAAGAACUAACAUUCUAGGAGAGAAUUAGUACUUUUUCUUUACAAGCAGAAGGUUUCAGAAUUUUUCAUCUGCAUUUUCCCCAAUGUGAUUUACUAUAUUAGCAUCUACUGCCACUUAAUGGGCAAGACAGAAAAUCUUGUUAAUAUUUAUGCUGUUUGUAAAAGGUAAUAGCAUAAUUCCCCUGGUAGUUUACUUCAUUAAAUGUAUACUGAUCUGAAAUUGUGAGGCCUGCUGGGUGAGUGCUGGCUGCAGACAUGAAUUGCUUGCCUAGCAGGUUACUUUAGUGUUCUUUUCUAAGAAAACUCCAUCUCCAUCAAUAUUCUUUCCAAGGUGUGUUGAAUAAUUUAAAAAGUGGCAGUUGCAACAAUAUGUAAAGGAAGCUGACAGCUGGCAGUGCUAGGCUUACUUCUCUGUCCUUUUCAUUGAAAGCUCCGAGCAUUUUGCACCAUGGGGGAAAGUAGAGUUUCAGACUUUGUUUGGGUUAAGUCCCAGCAUAGGGCCUGAUUAGAAUAACAGUACCUCAGCUCAAGGCUUUGGCUGGUGAAACUUGGCAGCAACCAGGAAAACCAGUCCUUUGACCACAUUUUCAACACAUAUUCUUGCUCAUUUUGAGAAAGAAAUUCAUUUUUCCCCUGACUUUGCUAUUUUUAAUGACUGAUUCUCCAUCCAUCCAAUAUUAUGAUGUUCAAAUUGAGAUAGAUAUUUGCCUUUUAUCUACUUCAUCCACUGGUUCCUGUAGACUUUUCUUGGCUUAAUUUCUUGAAUUUUUAUUCAUUUUUGCUUUUAUUCAUCCUCUAAGACUCAAUUGUGGUUUAAACGAAGUUUAUAAUAGUCCAGAUAACUAACCCUCUCCAUUCCUGCUAUGUGGCCCAAUAGUUUUGACCCAUCUCCGUGGGUCAUAAAUAUUUUUAUUUUUUUCCUACUUUCUAAAGAAGGAAUAAAAGAAGGAAGGAAACAAGGGAGAAAGAAAGGAAGAGGGAAGGAAGGAAAAAGAAGAGAGAAAAAGAAAGAAGAAAAGAAUGAAAGGAGAGAAGAAGUAAAGAAAGAAGGGAAGAAAAGAAAAGAAAGAACAUAGAAAUAAGAAAGGAAAAUAAGGAAAAAAGAAGGAAAAGAGAGAACCAAGCAAGAAGGAGGGAGGAAGAGAGAUAACAAAGAGAGAGAGAAUGUUAUGGAGAUAUAUUAUAUUAUAGCUACUUUUGAUAAGUUGAAUGUGAAUGAAAGGUUUUCAAAUUACCAUGUAGUUAGAUUUCAGUCAAUGCAGAACACAGGAAGUGACUUUUGGAAAGUCACACAACAACCUCCUUUCUGCUCUUACAAGGAUGAACCUGGUAGAAUUAGUAAUUAAGUUCCUACUGGUUUUUCAAUUAGUAAAAUUAACUAAAUUAGGUUUGUGUGAAGUUUAUGGAAUGGAGGCAGUCUAGUAUAGCCAGAGACUUAAUUGGUAAUUUUUGUAUCUGAAGCAAAUGAUUAACUAUUGCUCCUCUAUCCUAUAGCUGCCAUGGCAGGCAACAGAAGGAGCAUACACCAUGAGGUUUCCAUGUUGCUGACAAAUUAAGAAUCACUCUAGACAAGACAACCACUACGUCUGCUUCCAAUAGGCAGGAGAGGGCAGAUUCUCUUGAGUUGUGUUUGGAUUGUGUUAUUGGCAAUCUUUAAUUUUUUUUCUAUAGAGCAAAAUCCUAAGCUAGUUACAACUUGGAGGACAGCUACAGGGAGCCUAAAAGGAGAAGGACCAUUUACAUAGAGAAGAUUUUGGGCUAGAAGAGUACAGUCCUGUGCAUAAUCAAUUCAGCAGGAAGAACAUCUCCAUGCUUUGUCAGUCUCCAUUAAUUUCAUACAGAUCUCAUAAUUCUAUCUGCAACUUCACAACACAUGCAUGAAGACCUGGAAAAAGAGAUGAGUCUCAAAAGAAAGAAGAAACAAAAUAUUGGUGAGGGGGUACAAUGAGCUAGCAAGUGACAGUGAAAGGCAGGCUUCCAGAGAGGGCUAUAGCACUUUAACCUAGGAAGUAAUAGUAUAAGUUUGUUUAUUCAUCUGUAAGUAUAGAUUGGUUGUCUUAUUCUUUUGUCAUCCCCUGUGUUAUGCCCUAUUUUUGGAGGUCUCAGCUGUGAUGCUAGUUUCGGGGAGAGGAUGCUGUCCUAAUGUUCUUACCUUCUUCUUUGUGCCUCUUGGGUAUCUCUAGUUAAAUUCUGUAAUUUUUCCUUAAACAUAAGUGGAAUGUUGCUUUAAGCAUUGACUGAAUCAUAUGAUUCCUCUCUGAAAUCCCUUUAAAUUCCAGAAACAGGUUCCAAUAUCUCCUAGUACAAGUUAGAAGUCAAUGGAGCAAAUGAAUAAACAUCAAAUGCUAUCUUCCCUUCAUGCACUCAUAAGUGGGGAGAGUACCUCAAUGAAAGAGCAGAUAUAGAAGGGAAAUCACUGCAGAAGACAGCUAUACCAAAGAAAAGUAGAAAUUGGAACUUUUUAAAGGCAAAAAUUUAAAUGUAAAGUCAAAACAACUGCUAAAGAAAAAUCAAGCAAAUCAAAGUGAGAAACAUAAGCAGCAAAUUGGCCCUGAUGGAAUCAAUUAUUCACUCUCAACAAUAGAGUUUAGUUAAAAUGUAGUGAUAAAGAUGGGGCUGAUCUUCAGCUUAAUGGCCAAAAGAAGCAUACAACAUUGGGCUACAAAGAGCAAUUGUUUACCAAAGGAAAGCAAAUGCAACAAAUUAUAAAGGCAAGAAGGAAAUACAACCAUAGUUCUAAACCUAAACAGUCCAGCUCUCUCUGUUGGCCAAAAAUGCAAAAUAGGGCCCUAGAGCAAGUAAGUAGGUAUGUUCUUGAUAUCAAACUUCAAAAUAGUCUUGAACAACUUGAGCAAAAGAAAAUAAAUUGAAUUCAACAUGAGAUAAUAAAGAUAAUUGAGGGAAUAUCCACCACUUGGGGAAUAGCUGAACAAGUUGGUAUAUGAUGGUUUUGGAAUUCUACUGUAUUAUAAGUAAUGGCAAGCAGAAUAAUUUCAGAAAAACCUGGAAAGAUACAUGAACUGAUGCAAAGUGAAGGGAACAGAACCAGAAGAACAUUGUAUGCAAUAACAGCAAUAUAAAUGCUUUACAUAUAUAAUUUUGUUAGCUACCUAUUAAGGGUGCUUUGCACAUAGGAGGUAUUUAAUAAAUGUCUAUUGGAUUGUAUUUAAUAAGAGAUUAUAAACACAUGCGGUUUUGGUAUGGCAUGAUUAAGGACUUGUAGAGCACAUAAUCAGUAGCAUCUACACCUUUACCUGACCUUAGAAGCAAAACCUGACUUAUUAAAUGAGGCAGAUAGAUGGAUAGAGAAUUUAUCUAGUACUUAAAAUGUGUUAGUCACUAUGCUAACCACUGUACAAUCAAACAAGACAGUAAAGACUCAAGGGACUUUCAUUCUAAGGAGGGUAGACAACCAUAAAGUGGAUCUGGAAAGCAGGUCAAGAUAAGAUUACCAUAAAGAGGUAAAUUAUUUGUUGUAGACAUGGAGAGGAAUCCACCAAGACCUAGGUUAGGGACUUACUAUCAAUCAGGAAAAAUGUGCUAUAGAAUGUGGCACUUAGAUUGAGAAGGAAGCUUUUAAGAAGGUAGAGUAGAUAUCUACAGAAAUAUUUGAGUUGAGAGUAAAGUAAACAUGACUAUAGACCCUAAUGAAAUGUUAUUGUUAGACUACUGCUCUGAGUCUACCACACUCCAUAGUAGAUAAAAUGGAGAGAAUAGAAAAUAACUGGGAUAACUCAUACAACAUUCAUGAAACAUAAAAAUACUUUUCUAAGGCUCCUUAAUGUUACAGACUUAGAAUUUUUUCUUUUUCCUGAAACCUCUUAUUUUCAGUAAAAGGCAUUUAAAAAUUGUGUUGAAUGUAAUUAUUUUGUGCAAUAUUGUCUUGAGCAGACUUUUAAAUUUUAGUUUGAGAUCUUAAACAGUAUAUAAAACUGUUGAGUGAAUAUUCUCCAUAUGGCUUCUAUGUCUUAGUUUUUGGAGGCUGGGCAACUAGUUAUCCAGUCAAUAAAAAUCUAUUAAUUUGGUUCCCUUCAGAAUUGAACAAAAAUGGCAGCAAACGAGCAAUUUUGUGACUUUUAACAUAUAGCUUUUCUUUUUUUGUGGAAAAAAUGAAAUAUAAUACGCAUAUAAGGUGCUCUCCUCCUGAAAUAUAGCAGUCUAAAAAAUUAACAAAAAUAGUUGAUGAAACAACUCUAAAAUUUUAAGUGACUUUUUAAUUCCAGAAUUUAUUAGUGUCCCCUUUAAAAAAAAUCACCUUCUAUGUACUAGCCACUGUGCUAAAUGCUGGAAAUGCAAAGAAUUGCAAAAUAUAGUCAGUUUCUAAUCUUAAGGAGUUCAUAAUUUAAUGAGGGAGAUAACAUGUAAAUGUUAUUUAAGUGGUGCAGUAGAUAGAAUGCUGGUCAGGAAGAUCAUCUUCCUGAGCUCAAAUUGGUUUCAAAUACUAUCCAUGUGACCUUGAGCAAGUCACUUGACUUGUUUUCCCUCAGUUUCCUAGUCUAUAAAACAAUAUGGGGUAAACAAUUCCAGUAUAUUUGCCAAGAAAACCUCAAUGGGGUCAGGAGAAGUCAGAGAUGACUGAAAAAAUGCCUGAACAAUAACAACAAGUGAAUAACUAUGCACCAAUAAGCUGUAUACAGGAUUAAUUGGAAAUAAUCAAUAGUGGGGAGGCAUCAGAAUUAAAGGAGAUCAGGAAAGGAUUCCUGUAUGUGAGAUUUUAGUUCCUACUUGAAAGCAACCAGGGAAAACAGGAUGUGGGGAUAAAGAGAACAAGCAUUUCAAGCUUAGGAAAUAGUCAGGGGAAAUGUCUUGAGUGAGGAGUCUUUUGUGCCAUGAAAAGCAAGAAGCCAGUGCCAUGGGUUCAUAGAUACAUGGUGGGGUACAAGGGAUAAGAAGAUUGGAAAGGUGGGAGGGAGCAGGUUCUGAAGCAUUUUAAAUGAGAGAUGAUUAAUCUUGGAGGUGAUAGGGAGUCAAUGGAGUUUACUAAAUGGGAGGGUGCCCUUUUGGAAGAUCACUUUGACAGCUGGAAUAGGGAAGGACUUGUGGCAGGGAGACUAACUAGCAGGCUAGGACACUAGUCCAGGAAUGAGGUGAUGUGGGUAUGUACCAGGACAGAAGAAAUCAGUGGCAAAGGUUCAUACCAAAGAAUGAGAGAACUUGUUCAUAUGGAAAGGAACUUCAUGGAUAAUUCGUCUUUCUCAUGUUACAAAUGAAGAAUCUCAGCACCAGAGGGUGAAAUGUCCUGCCUGCUAGUGUCAGUGUUGAAGUGAGACUAGAAUUCAAUAUGCUUUCUCUUGCUUAGUGAUCAUUCAUAUAAAGAUGCCCUUCCUACCUGAACUUACUCCUCAAUGAGUAACUUCCUCUCCUAGAAACAGUGGGGCAUCAUACAGAGUUUCUAUGUGGGCUAGAUUUAAGUCUACAUAGCCCUACAUAGAAAGCUGACUGCUUGGAAUGAAACUGAAGAUUUAUAACACAGUUUCUCUAAUGAUUUCACCUUAGGAAGUGCACUCCUGCUGAAACACACAGUAGGCUAAGAAACUGUUUAACAAAAAAGAAAUGAACUGUUGAUAACAUUUUGGCGUAAUUCUUUAUAUUGUUAGGAUUUUAAACUUUUUAAGUGAUUAGUAAUGAAUUGAGGAUAACAAAUAGAAACCAGGGCUCAUUGUUUGAACCUAUUGUUUGUAUUGAAUUUCCUACAUUUAUGACUUUGGUAUAUUCCCUAUAUAAAUUAUGAUGUUCCUUACAAUAUAUGCUUCUUACAAUAUAUUUUAUUUUUGAGUCACAUUUUCAUGUAAAAUCACUAAUGUUGUUGGUAAUAAAUAUCCCAAUAAAAAAGAGGAAUUUAUGCAUCAUCUCUCAUAGGUCCUUCGGUGAAUGAGUGAUUGAGGAUGAAAAUGCAGGGGAGAAAUAAGGGCGAUGGUAGAAACAAAAUUUAGGACCAACAAGGAAAUGGGCUUAAAGAGAAUAACCGCCUUGUCAGAAAGUCUAAAAGUAUUACCUGGAGCAAUGAAGCUAACAUCCAAAAUAAUGAAAAGAAAAGUAGAUAGACUAAGUAGGAUGAUCUCAAAGUAUGAGACCUUCUCUUUCUCCUACUCUGUCUUUUUUUAACUUUAAUGAAAUAGAGCUCUUUUGCUUUCUGAUUCACAUUUGUUUUAACUCAGAGAAGAACAUUUAGUACAACCCCUUCAUUUUGUGGACAAAGGAAAACUGGAUCCCAGUGACAUUGUGCCUUGCCCAAGGAAUGGAAUAGAGAAGGAAAGUAUUUAUUUAUUGAUUGCUAUGUACUAAGCACUGGGGAUACAAAUAGAAAACUGCAACAUUCUAAACUUCCAUAGAGUUCCCAUUCUAACUGGGGGAGAGAACUCACGAAGAAGUGUUUACAUUUGAUUUAUGGCAUCUGGCAAGGCCAGGUAGCAGGUAGGAAAAAUUAACAGGGCAAAUGGUCAGACCCAAAGGAUUUAGGGUAGUAAUAGCAGGGCAGAUGGACCCCUAUCAAGAGAAUAGUGGGUUCAAGAAUUAUAUUGUAGUAAGACUUAGAGCUGUGGAAAGGAUGUGGAGAGCAACACCAAGCUGGCAGUGGGUGGAUAGUGACAAGUAAUGAGGAGCAUUUUGGGAAGGGAUAACCCUGUGACUACCUUUGGUGGUAGUAGGUGUUGUUGUUCUGUCUUCCUACAUUCAUUUGCAGGUUGGGAUGGGAUAUGGGAAAAUCUCUGACUUUCCUCCUUCCUGCCAUAAUCACAAAGGAACUAUAUUCCAGAGGUGGGAUUUGAACCCUUGUCCUUUGACAUCAGUGCUUUUUUCACUAUACCAACUCUCAUUGCUGACCAGUAUCUAGUAGUUUUUGAGGUUACAAAGUAAUAUAAUGAUAAAAGAAGAGGUCAUUAUAAAUCUGGAAUAGACCGUAGAGAUAAUUUAAGCCAGUCCAUUCAUUUUACUGUUGGGGAACCUGAUUCUCUCAGUUCAGUAUUUUUAUGAAAUUUGGAAAUAAAAGAGACUUUAGAGAACAUUUAACCCAGUUCUCAAAAUGUGGUCUCCUGGGAGUUCCUGAGACCCUGAGGUCCACGAUGUCAAAAACUAUUUUUAUACAAUGAUAUACAAUGUUUUAUACAAUAAUACAAACACAUUUUAAUUUUUAAUAUAGUAAAUAUCAACAGAUAUGCCCUACCUAAACAUCCUUUGGGACAUCCUCAGUAAUUUUUAAGGGUAUAAAUCGAUCUUGAGACCAAAACAUUUUGAGAACUGUCGAUCUAAUUCAAUACCUACCUUUCAUAUGUGAGAAACCAAGACUGGGACUUGACCAAGGUCCUACAUGCAUGAAACAAGAGCUGGGAUUUAAGCCUAGAUAAUUUGACUCUAAAUAUGAGAUACAUUCUACUAUGUGAUGCUGAUUUUAGCUCUAUAAUCCAAGUAACAGUAGAUAUCUACUAUGUGUGGUGGGAUGCUUUGUAGUUUAAUGGAGGGGGAAUUCUCUUCAGAGGCAGAAAGCCUGGGAUUUAUUUAAGCCCUACACCUGCCCCAGAUACAUGGUGGCUGGAUGACAUUGAACAAGUUAUGUACCAACCCAGUGUCCCAAGCAAUGGUUUAAUGCUUUAAAUGUUAAGAGUACUGGAUGAUUUGGCCUUGGUAGAGAGAGCUUCAUCAUUGAAAGUUCUCCAUACCAAUGAAUUCAUGGCUCUAGGGGCGGGGAAAUAAGGCAUUGGGCUGGAAGUUGGGGAAAUGAAGACAAACUCAAAUAAUCAAAGGAUCUUAGUUUUCUAAGCUGGAAUGGGCUUUAGAGGUCAUCAACUUGAACCCUUUCAUUUUACAUCCGAGGACUCUGAGGCCCAGAGCUCUGACCUUCAGUGGCUUGCCAGAAGUUGUCUAGUUGUGGGCUGGUGUAUGUGGUCCGUAUCUACCUAGGAAUGCUUCCAAUCCUUGGAUUUGGGGGAGAAACACCCAAUAGCCUUCUAAUUGCCCCAGGCGAGGCUUUUCCUUUGUGCUAGUUGGUGGAAUUUGAGCAUCAGUAGCUGCAUGUGAACUUCCCAUCCAGAGGAGAAGUGGGACCCAGGUCUGAGGGGUUAUACACCCAAUCUUUUUUUGCUAAUUAGCCGGAAUACCUUGGUUUGGGCCAGAAAGUGCUCUCUUUCUAUUAGCAAGGACAACAGAACCUGCGCCAUUGGGGGAAAAUGGCCCUCGAAUCCCAGCCUUCCUUGACUUAAGACUUUAUUUAUAUGUUUGUCUUAACAAUUCAGUUCCUCACAUGAAACGCAUGCACACACAUAAGUGCAUAUAUUUCUUAAUAGGAGAGAACCCAGGGAAAUUCUGACUCCAGUUCAUGAAUAAUGCAGACAUUUUGCUGUUUAUGUCAUUUCCAUCUGUUGUGUGCAUGGUAUUUAUGGUAUUCACAAGAUAAACUGAUAGGAGUGUGUGAUCUACUAAUAUGUAUAUUUUUUGAGCUCCAGGGACUGUUUUCAAUGAAAAAAAAGAUGCCAUGUACUCUGACACCCAGGAUAGAAAAGUUCGGAAACAAAAAUAGCUUUACACACACACAUUUGAACGUUCCGACUUAUUGAUUUAUGUUGAAAGGGCUGGUGCUUGCUCCUAUGGCUCAUCCCUUUCCAAGAUCUCCCAGUACCCUGCCAGCCCUGCCUGGCUUCUGGCUACGAGGGAAAUGGCAAGCAGGGCCCGACUCUUUUUCUUUUACGGUGUCCCACUCUCCUGUUUUUCCAUGUCUUGGGGAGGGAAGUAAGUACUGUGGAAAAUGUGUGGAUUCUACAUUUAGUUUCGUUUGCCUUGGAUUUUCUGCUCAAUGACACCGAAGAGGGAGAAGGGCUUCUCUGGGAACCAGAGGCAGAGGACAACACUCCUCAAAGGAGCUUCUGUUCAUUAGAGUUCAGCAAAGCAUCUGAGGCAGUGAGGCGUUAAAGAGAGAACAUUGACUAGGAAUGUGGGAGACCUCCAUUCUAGGCUUGGCUUUAUCAGCACUGUGAUUUGCAGUAGCAGCUUCAUGCUCCAGGGUUUCAAUUCCCUUAUCUGCAAAAUGGAAGACUGGGAGGAGGGGAACUUGAUUGGCUUCCAUUAGUCUUAAAAUUUCAGAAUCACAUAUCCAUGCUUUAUUUCUAAACACACACACAUAUAUGUUCAGAAAUAAAAUGUGGAUAUCCAGUCUUGGAAUUUUUGAAGCUAAUAGAUAAAUGCUUAGACAUAUACACACAACCAUAUAUCUAUUUAUGUACAUUACACAUUACAUAUUUAUAUACAUGACAGUAGGCUAUGAUUUGGUAAUAGUAUCAAGACUAGAAGCCUUAGUUAAAUAAGUAGGUGGAUGGGGAGUAUUUGGGGAAGUGGACUUAAAGUUAGGAAGUCAGAAAUUCAAAGUCCAUGUUAGACACUUUUGAUGACCUUUACAAAUCACUUUAACCACUCCCUGACUCAGUUUCCCCAUCUAAAAUGUUAUGUUUCAACUUGAUGGUCUCUGAUGUUCUUCCCAUAUUGAUGAUCCUGUAAGUAUCCAAACUGCAUAAUUAAAAAAAGAAAGAGUUUUUAUUUUUUAAAGGACUAUUCUUGAAGGCAUGAAGGAUAAAGGAUAAAAAUACAGGUUUCUAGCCUCCUUUUGAUUUCUCCUCUUUGGAAAAGAUCAUUAGAAAAGGGGCAGGAGUUUGGAAAUUGUGAAUUGUUACUUUUCAAAGCCUGUUCUUGGUGGGAAGAUUGCCUUUUGAUAAAUAUAGAAUUUAGAAAUCUAAUAUAAGGAUUCAUUUGGGGCAAGUGUGGAGCACAGAUAGGCAAUUAUACUGCAUCUGCAUUUCAAGUGGGGCAGCGACGUGGCACAGAGCACAGUGUAUCAGGUGCGGAGUCAGGAAAGAGCAUCUCCCUGAAUUCAAAUCUGGUCUCAGACACUUGCCAGCUGUGUGACCCUGGUAAGUUACUUAACCCUGUUUGCCUCAGUUUCUCAUUUGUAGAAUUAGCUGCAGAUUAAAUAUCAAACCAUUCCAGUAUCUCUACAAAGAAAGCCUUUAGUGAGGUCAUAGCAAGUUAGAUGCAACUGAAAACAAAUGAACAUGUUUCAGGUCCCACACUAAAGGCUUUUUACAAAUAUUAUCUCAUUUGAUCUUCACAGUAACCCUGAGAGUUAGGUGCUUUUAAUAUCUCCAUUUAAAUGUUGAGAAAGCGGAAACAAACUCAGCUACAGUGACUUGUUCAGGGUCACACAACUAGUAUAUAAAUAUCUGAGGAUGGAUUGGGACUUUGGUUUUCCUGACUCCAGCUGCCUCUGUGAGGAUUGUGAGGUGUCUAUUUGAGGACUUUUGUUCACUUACUCAAUUCAUUCUUUCAGCAAAUAUCUAUUAAGCACUUAUUGUAUACAGUGAGCACAUUGUGCUAGCUACCUACAAAAUUUAUAAAAGGCUUAAUCCAUGACCUCAUAGUUCUUCUAGUCUAUUUGGAAUAUUACAGUAUUACAUCAUAAUUAACAAUUAGUGAGACGAAAAGCAAAAUGCUACAUGGCAUCCUAAAAGGAUAAUGGGUUGAUAUUUGGGGAAAGGGAAUUAUCUGCUUUUCCUGAAGCAUAUUGUGGUUUCUCAGUAAAACAUGAAGUCUCUUCCUUAACUGAAAGUUCUUUUUUAUGGGGAAAGUCAUGUAAGAGGCAUAAAAAAUAGAACUUUUAGAACAACAAUAUGAGGAGGGAGCUAGUGAGGAUGAAGGAAAGGCUUAGAAGGCUAUUAAAAGUAUUAUCCUCAUUUUACAGAUAAGGAAACUGAGGUUUAGACAGGUUAAAUAACUUGCUCACAGACAUACAUAGAAAUGAUGUAUUCAUGAUUUGCACUUAAGUCUCAACUCCAGGUUCAGUAAUCCUUUCAUUAUACUGUGCUAUCUCUAGGUACUAGGGAGCCAUUAAAGACUCAUGAACCAAGAAGUAAAAUGAUCAGUUCUAGAAAUGAGAAAUAAUAAUUUUGUACACAGUUUAAGGGAUGAAUUAGAAAGGGAAGAGAGUGGGGAAAGGGAGUCUAUUAAGAGGUAACUGAAGUAAUUUAGGCAGGUGGUAAUGAGGUCUGGGACCAGAACAGUCGUAGUAGGCACAGAAAAAAAGGGGCUAGAUUCUAAAAAUCUCAUGGACAGGAUGUUGUUCAGUUGUGAAAGGUUAUGGAGAGGGAAGGGUCAAAGAUGGCCCCAAAAUUAUGAAUGUGAAAAACUGGAAGAAUAGUGGUACCAUAGAUAGGAAUCAUAGAAUGAGGAGUUUAGAGGGAAGGUUAUCCUUCCUAAGGAUAUUAAGUUCAUUACUUUAUUUUCUACAUUUAUUUGUUUGUUUGUUAUAUUAUAGUUCCCAGGAAUUUCCCUCCCUCCACUCCUCACCCUAGAAACGGCAUCAUUUGACCAAAACAUAUCGAUAUAAAAUCCUGUCUUGCUUAUUCUAUUCAUCAGUUCUUUCUCUGGAGGUGGAAUGUUAUUCUUCAAACAAUAUUUCUGUUGCCAUACUUAAUGUUCUCUUGGUUCUGAUUGUUUCACUCUUCACAACUUCAUGUAGCAUUAUUAAGCUUGGUUUGGGAUAUAUUGAAUUCAAUACCAAAUCAUAUAUCAAAUCAGAGAUAAGCCCAGAAUAGUUUAGAUUGCUGAACUCUAAGGCAGAAGGUAGAGAUCAAAUGCCAGUGUCAAAGCUUCUUAGUUAUGUGACUAUUGUCAAGAAAUUUCACAUUUAAAGCCUCAGAUAAUGCAUGCAUAAAAUUGGAAUUUUAAUACUUAUAUCUAUUAUACAUUUAUUUCAGGGCGGAUGUAAAAGGACAGUCUAUGUAACUUGAAAUAAACAGGGUGUCAUUAUUCAUGUUACUAAAUGACUUAAACCUAAAAAGAGGAAUGUCUUCAUAAUAAUUACAGUGGAAAAUCACAUGGCGUGGAAGAAAAAGAAGCCUGCGGUACCAAAAUGUCUUUAGGACGUGAGAUUUUUCCAGUCCUGUGUCUAUAGAAUCUUUUCUGUGAUUUGACACCUGAACAGAAGGCUGGAAACUGGAAGGAAGAUAACAAUUCAAUAGCUAAACUGGACUGGAGAAACUAGGCGGUACUAGAGAAAGCUGAGGCUUGUAGCUCUCUAAGCCAGUUGUGUUAUCUUAACUGGUCAAUGUGGGAGUCAAAUGCUACAAAACUAUGAACUCUUCAUCCCUGUUCUUCCCCUUUAUAAUUAGAUUUGCACUUCACAGAGUUCAAUAAAAGCAGGAAUAUGUCACAUACCGACACAAUUACAGUAUGGAGGAGGCAUUGCUACAUGACAGAUCCUCUGAAAAGGAUUUGAGGUUUUUGAUGAACAGCAAGCUUUAUAUGAGUAAACAAUAUGCAAUAGAAGCAAACAAAACAAAAACAAUGCAGCUGCAUUAAUAAAAAUGUAAAACCAGAAUGAAUGAUAUACUGUAGUCUGUCCUGGUCAGUCCAAAUUCAAAUCUAGAAGCCACAUUUUAGAAAAGACAUUGGAAUGCUAGAGCAUUCCAGAGGAAGGUGACUAAUGUGAUCAGAUAACUGUAAACAAUUCCAUGGUAGGAUUAUUUACAGGAGCUGGGGAUGUUUAACCUGUAAAAGAGGAGACUUUGUAAGGGUUCUUAACCUUAGUCUGUCUUAUUGACCCCUUUGACAAUCUGGGGAACGUUAUGGACAUUUUUUUUAAAUAAUGUUUUUCGAUAGAUGAAAAUUGCUAAGUUUCAAUUCAAUUAUUGGAAUGAUGCUUUUAGAUAGAAAGAAAUGUUGAAUUUCAAUAAAUUUCAAUUUAAAAUAUGCUAAUGAAAAAAAUGAUAAAUUUCAAUUAAUGAAAAAAGGAUGGAAAAUUUUUCCCCACCCGAUUUCAUAGAUCUUUUCACCAUAAAUCUUUCCCAAGUAAAGGGAUAGUUUAAAUAUUCAGUCAUAUUAGGCUUCUUAUGCUCAUCAAGGAGUGGGAGUUGCAGAGAUGUGGAAUUCUACUUUAUAAUAAGAAAAUCUUCCUACCAAUUAGAACCAUCCCAAAAAUAGAAUGAGCUAUUUAGGAAGGUAGUGAGUUCUCCAUCUCUGGAGAUCUUCAGGCAGGGAUUUGAUGACAACUUGUCGGUGAUAUGGUAGAGAAGAUUCCCAUUCAAAUAUGGGUUUAUUGUUUUGUAAUUUAAACUAUGAACCCAUUAAUUGAGAGAAUGUUUUGUAUAAUUAGGUUUAUUUAGUUGUAGUUAGUAGAGUGCUUGGUGGUGCGAAUGACUUUUAAACUGGGAACUGAAAGAGGAGGAAAAUAUGUAUAAUGAUUAUAGGAAAUAAACAUCAAACAUGGGAAAUUCAGUCAGUCAUUGGGAUAUUGAGCUUGUUUUGCCCUCAUAUGAUAUGCCAUGAGGAAGGCAAUAGCAAUGUGCUUGUGCUCAUAAUAGAAGGUCCAUGGAGUGGAAGGAAUUCCAUGACAAGCUUCUCAGUCUCAUCUAAGCCACUUGCUGCCUAUUUCUUCAGAUGCCUCUGAAUUAGAGCCUUAGAGGUAAUUGUGUAAUCAUAAGAGGCAUCUCAGACUCUCUUCCUUUGAGCUUAGACUUGUUUCUUCCUUAAUAUCGAUGCCUCUUCAUAGAUGUCUUUCCCAUCCUAAACCCAAGACCAAGGACAGUGGUGGUCUCUUAUAGGUCUCUAUUCUGUACUUGGUGCUACCAGCCCUGGGAAUGACAGCUGAAAAGCAGUGUGCUGAUUUAAAAGUGCUUUAUUUCAGAGUUUGGGAUUUGGAGUCAUAAGACUUGAGUAAAAAUUGUGGCUCUUUCGCUUUCUAUCUAUGUGAUUUGCAGCAAAUCACAACUCUGUGGGCCCAGGUUUUCUCAUCUGUAAAAUGAGAGAGGAGGACUAGAUGACCUUAAUCUCUUCUGGCUGUCUCAGUUCCUGGCUCUGUUACUUACUACUUGUGCUACUUUGGGAAUAGCACUUCAAGUCUGCUGGCCUCCAUUUCAGUGAUGGGUGGAAUUUCAUAAGAUUUCAUAAGGCUUGUAUUUAACAAAAUCAAGAGCAGAAGUGCAAGAUGGGAAACGUGAGACUAGACAACAGUUUCUGAACAAAGGAUUUGUGUUUUUAAAAGAUUGUAAGAUAAACUCAAUGACUUGAUAGGAAUUUACUCAGCAGGAGUUCGCUAUACAGUUUGAAUCCUAGAGCCAGACCAAAAGAAGAUAAAAUUUAAUAGGUCAACAGCAUGACAUAGCAAAAGAAAAAAGCUAAAGCAAUCUUAAGAGAAACAGAGCAUCCAGAAUAAGAAUACCCAGAAUGAGUGAUAGGGUGAUUGUACCAUUUUGCUUUUCUCUAGUCUGACUAUAUCUGGAUUAUGGUCUUCAGGUCUCUGUGACAUUUGAGAGGAUAUUGAUGAGCUAAGGGGUCACCAGGAUGGAAAAUGGGCUGUUGACUGCCAUAGGAAAUUGGUUUGAAACACUUGAGAACAAAUCUAGCCUCUUACUAGUUUUAUGUCCUUGUGUAAGUCAUUUAAUCCACCUGACUCAGUUUCCUCAGUUGCAAACCAGACAUAAUAAUAAUACCUAACUCUUUGGGUUGUUGUGAGGAUCAAAUGAGAUAAUAUUUAUAAAGUGCUUAGCACAUAACCCAGUAGUACACAGUAAUUGCUUAAUAAUUGCUCAUUUCCCCUUCUGUCAAGAACUGGAGUUGUUUAAUUUAGAGGACAGACAGCAUGGGAAUGAAGUAGAAUAGCAGUCCUUAAGCACAUGAAAGGGUUUUAGAUGGAAGCAGGGGUAUUCUGGUAAGUGGUUGGGUCUCUGAAGGAAAAAAAAUAUUACGCAUUACAUAUUUUAAGAUUUAAUCUGCUUUAUUAACAUUUUCUCCAUCACUUUCUUAAGUCUAGACAAUCAACCAAACAACAAAUUAAGUCCAGAUUUGCAGUACUUGUCAGUUUCCAAGGUGGAAUUGCUCACAUUGAAAACUGAAAUUUUGACAAUCAGCUCUUGCUAGACUUGUAUGAACUGGUUUCAGCUCAACCUUGGGAGGAAGUGGGAUUAGGUUUGAAUUUUUGGCUCCAAAACAUAGAUCUUGGGGCAAUGAGUGGAAGCUCUUGAAGGACAAGUUUGGAUUGACUCGGCUGACUUGGUAAGUAUAGCUUCCUGAUUAACAGAGAUUUUGGAGCACAGAUGAGAAAACCACUUGAAUGAAAGAAUGAAAAUAUUUAUGAAGCACCCAUGAUAUGCAAAGCACUUCUCUAAGUGCUAGUCAUGCAAACAGAAGAGUAAGACAGUUUCUGCUCUCCAGGAACUCACAGGGCAGACAACACAAAUGGAAGAUGUAGCAUUGGGGAUUCUUGUGCAGGUAUAGUCUCAAUGAGUUGAUCUCUAAGCAACCUUCUAGCUCUGAAACCAGCAUCUAGAAAUGGUGCAUAAGACAUAGAGGGAGACAGGGAUUGGUGAAAUCAGUUGGAAGGUUAUGGUAUUAGUCUAGGUGAGGAUGAGGCAGUUAGCUAGGAUAGUGACAAAGGGAAUGGAACUGAUAGCCCACAUUUAUAUUUAAAGUUUGCAAAAGAAUUUGCUUACCACACCCAUGAGAAGUAGAUGAGGAGACUUCUGUCAGUCCUGUUUUAGACAUGAAGAAACUGAGACUUAGGAGGGUUAAACUGACUUGACCCAGAUUAUACACCAAGCAACUGUCACAGUCUGGAUUUGAAUCCAAGUUUCCUAAUCUGAUUCAUGUACAUUUUCUUUCUUAUUCUUUUUUAAAACCUUUACCUUUUGUAUUAAAAUCAAUACUUAAAAUUACUUUAGAAGCAGAAGAGCAAUAAGGGCUACAUAAUUGGGAUUAAGAGACGUGGCCAGAGUCACAUAGCUAGGAGGUGUCUGAGGCCAAAUUUGAACCCAAAGAACCUCUCAUCUCCAGGACUGGCUGUCUACCACUAAGCCACCUAGCUGCCCCUUUUGUACAUUUUCUAUUCCAACAAGCUAUCUUUCAGGUUUAGUUCGAGGGCUAUUGAAGUAAUGGAACUGACAGAUUUGGAGAUUAGAUGCAGAAAACAAAGGUGAAGAAAGAGUGAGGAGUAAUUUAGAGAUCAAAACCAUGAGUCGCUAUGAGAGUGGUAACACUAUUAAUAGAAAUAAGAAUAUCAGAAAUAAAAAGAUUUUUAAAAAUAUAGUCCUACUGGUCUUUGUUUUUACAACAUUCGUUGAUAUACCCCCACAUCCACACAUGUCCUUGAACCUUCCUUUGUAAUAAAUAAAAGCAGUUAAAUAAAAUCAAUUGACACACUUUCCAUAGCUGACAACAUAAAUGAAAUACUGGGACUUCAAUUCCCCACCUUUGAUAGAUAUGCUUGCACACUAAUAAUGACCACUACAAUUAAUUAGAUUUUAGCUCUCUUUCUCUCUAUAUAACUCAAAAGUUGAGGGAGGAAUAGGGUCAAAUUCUGCUUGUAUGACUGUGAGCAUGUUACCUAAUAAAAACACCUGUUUGCUCAUCUGUAAAAUGAAGAUAAUCAUGUGUGUAUAUCUACCAAACAGACUUAUAAGAAUCAUAUGGGACAAUGUAUGUAAGAAAUUUUAUCAAUAUCAGUUCUCAUGGUCAUAGUCUGGUUGUUUUAGAGAUAGAAAAAACCCUAAAAAAUCAUCUAGUCUCCUAGCCUCAUUUACCCCCUUUGCUCUCAAAGAAUUUAUAUUCUAAAGGGGGAAAAAUCAUAUAUAAAAUCCAGCUGGAAAGCAGAGGGGGUGAGAGGAGGAAUGGAAAAGGUUUCUACAUGGGACCAUGAUGUCAAAGUUUAGAAAGCCAAAAUAGGAGAGAAAUGAAGAUUAGCAUGCUUAAGCCCUUCUCUCAAUGGUGGGACAUGGAGGAACUCAUCAAAUGGAGAAGAGAACUGACCUAGCAGAGAGUAUUCUAGGAUGCGAUAGAUAUCCUUGGAUGAAAUGGUUCUAGGCACUGAGGAAAUUCUAAGAAGCUGAGAUAUAUUGGCAAAAUAUACAGUAGUCUUCCAUCACAUUCACAUACUAUUAUCUACUUUAUGCCUUUCAUACUUAAAAAAAUCUAAUGGAAAUGGCUUUUGUUCUAUACAUUUGAAUAAAUUCCUCAUAUAUCUCUGAAAUUAGAACUUUGUCAGAGAAACUGGUGCAAAAAUUUGCAGGAAACUGUUUCCCAUCUAAUUUUUGCUGUGCUGUUUUUUUUUUAACAAAAUCUUUAAAAUUUUGUAUAAUCAAAAUUAUCCAUUUUUUUCUUGUGAUCAAUUCUAUCCCUUGUUUAGCCAGGAACUCUUCUAUCUACAGUUCUAUAAGGUAAUUUAUUUCUUGGUCUUCUAUUUAUCCUAUAACCUUUUAUUUAUGCCACAUAGCCAUUUGGAAUCAUCUUACUAUAGAGUGGGAGGUGAUUGUCUAAACUUAAUUUCUGCAAGACAUUUCCAGUUUUCCCAAGAGAUGACAAAGCAUUUAUCAAACACUAACUCUGCCAUGCCAAAUUUCUUGUCCAUUGAUAAGUUUCUUCAUGUCCCUCCAUUUUGGGGAGGGAUCUACAUCUGCUAACCUUUAUUUCUCCCCUCUUUCUGCUUUCUGGACUUUGAAACCGUGGCCCCAUAUCGAUACCUUUUCAUUUUUCCCUUCAUCCCCUUUAUUCUUUAGCUGGCGUUUGUAUGUUAUCUUCCCCCUAUAGAAUAUAAACUCUUUGAGAGGUGAGCAUAUAAAAUGAGGAUAGUAGCCUAGAUGAUUUUUAAUCAUCCUUUAUAUCUCUAAAUCUACCAGGCUAUGAUCAUAUGAACUGAUAUUAACAAAACUUUUACAUACAUUGCCUUUUUUGAUUCUCAAAAUAACUCUAUUAGGGAGAUACUACACAUACCACUAUCUUUAUUUUACAGAUGAGGAAAUAGCACUUUGAGUUGUUGGGUAACUUUCUCACAGUCAUACAACUUAUAUGUGAGAAGUAGAAUUUGCAGAGAAAACAGAGUUAUGUUUAAUAAGGAAUGGGGAUUGGCAAAAUGAGGGUUUCUGAAGAUUAAGGGGGCAAAACCCCCUAAGGAUCAUAUUUAUUACUGAAGUUAAAUUCAUAUAGAAAAGGUUCAAGAUAGUUAAUUUCAACACUCAUCAGAUACCAUUAGGUGUCUAUAUUUAAAGAAUAAUUGAGGAUACAAGGUUAUAUAAUACCUGCUCUCACUUAAAUGAAAAUCUAAUGGCAUCGAUGAGACAAAAGCACACAGAUAUGAAUUCUAUCAGAUAAUAUUCACUGAGUGCAUGAUUUAAGUAAAACAAAGUAAAUAACAAUUUCUCACAUUUAUACAAUGCUAUGCUUUACAGAUUGUUUUACCCUCAGUAAUCCUGUGUCAUAGAAAGUGCAAGUAUUAUUCUCUCCUGUUUGCAAAUGAACAAAAUAAAGCAACUUGUCCAUGGUCAGUCAAGGGAGCUGGAAUUUGAACCCAGGCAUUCUGACUCCAGAUGCACCACUCUAUCUAGGAUUGUGAACAAUCAAUGAUAUCCAAGAUGCUGGGCUUGGAGAGGGCACCAACUAGUCACGUUGCCAGUACUGGUGAGAGAAGGUCAGCAGAGGAGAAAGCUUUGAAUUAAUUGGUGUAGCAGGAGAGAUUGGAGUUGGGAAGUCUUCACAUCUUGGUACUUGUGAAACAACGUGCUCAUUUUUGGUAAAGUGGCUGCUCAGAGCCACUGACAGCUCUAGGGUGUGAGCUGAGGGAUAGGCAGCAUGUGUUAGAUAGGAUAGAACUGUGUUGUGGCUCAUCUUAUUUGCAUAUGUGUUUAUUUUUCCUAAAACAGAAAUCAGCUAAAGGUCAUGCAUCAUCUUGAUUGAUGAUGUUUGAAGUGGGAAUAGUGAUAUCAAGUCUUAUGUAAAGUGCUUUGAGAAAAAGAAUAUGUUUUUUAAAAAGGAGAGGAUAUUUUUGUUUUCUUUCUUCCUUUUCUUCCUUUUUUUUCAUUUCACAUAUGGCCUGAAUAACUCCUGAUGCUAUCCCUCUGCUGUGCAUGAGGGCAGGAUUUCAGGGAGCCAUAAGGAUGCUGAGAAAUCAGUCAAACAGGCUUUAAGAGUUUUGCAUUUUUUUCCUGUGAACAUCUUGCUGACGAAACAGUUUGAAAUAGAUUUGGUGAACAGACACCAGCAGUUUCAAAUUUGGAACUCAGAAGCAAUCCAGUUGUCUUUGGGGUCCCCAGAGAUCCCAAGAUAGGGACAGAUCAUUUCUCUGAAGGUUAAAUCACAAAAUCAGCACCUUCUAAGUUAUAAAUAAUCAUUGUCACCAUGGGAUUUGAGAGGAUAAUGUUCUCUGAGAAGGCAGGGCAAAUAAACAUUGCAUCCAUUUCACAAAGAAACUGAGGUAUAGAGAGAUGAAUUGGCUUGAUCAAGGUUACACAGAAAGGAAUUUCAAUCUAAAUUUGGCCUCUUAAAAUUGUGCCUCCUGAGAUUAUUGGUCAGUCAACCUUGUUGAGAAAAAUAAACAGAAAACCAAGGAAGAAAUUACCUUACAGAUUUAUGGAUAAAAGAAAAAAAGAAUGAUAAAAAAGAAAAAAAAUAAUAAAAAGCGAGUAGAGAGGAUCACAGAAGAAUCCAUUCUGUAACUUUUUAAAAAUUGAUAUCUUUGUCAUAACAUCACUUUCAUUUUUUAAGAAAAACUCAUUUUCCUCUGCUCCAAAUUGUGACAGAGAAAAAUACUUUACAACAACAUCUAAUACAGCGACUACCUCAGUUGGAAUAGUUCUCUGUCUCUCUGCUCUGACAAAGGAGUUAUACUCUAUAAUUUGUCUUCUUGGACCAUAAUAUACAUUUUUUGCUUUGUUGGCUCAGAGUUCAAAUUCUCCUUAGAGAUUUUUUCCCUUUACAUUGCUGAGGUCAUCAUGUCUAUUUUUUAUGGUUAUGUAUAUUUUUAUCUUUGUAUCAGUUCCUAGAAAUCUCCUAUUUUGGUUUGAACUAUCAAUAGAUCAAUGAGCAUUUACUAAAUGUCUACUAUGAGAUCUGUAUUUGUUUUUGAGGAGCUUAUAUUUUACCGGGAGAGACAAUAUGUACAUGUAGACAUAUGUAUAUACAGAACAAAUUAAUACAAGGUAGGUAGGGAGAGAGGACAUGAACAAAGAAUAGGAUAAUAUCACUCAGUCUCAGAGUUACAUGAUACCAGCCACUGUACUCUACCAUACCCUGCUGUUUACUGAAGAAUAACAUUCCUGAGAUAGAUCUAGAGCUAAAGUUCUUAAUCUGGGGCUUGUGAGCAUAUCUAGAGCUAGUUAUGACUACAUCUCAAUAUAAUUGGUGUCCUUUAUAAUGCUAUGUAUUUAAGGAAUAUUAUUCUGAAAGAGAUUAAUAGACUUCACCAGAUUGACAAAGGAGUCCAUAACCCAAAAUGUUCACUACUCCUCUUCUAAAGAAUUCUAGAAGGAAAACAAUUAGAAGGGAGUAGAAUGAGAAUAUUACUUGGAAGAAUGCAUUGCAAAUUAAUAUCAUUAAAAUCAAGGAAUUGAAGAGAUUGUGGGACCAGUGGGACCAGUAUAAAAGACAAGACAUCUCAUUCAAUUGAGUGAGGAGAAAAAUUUGCUGUUCAAAAAGAAACAAAGACAGAGAGAGAGAUCCAAGAGAGAGAAAGAACUAGAGAGGCUAAGAGUAACCAUAAAAUUAUUACUAAUUUUUUAAAAAUCUGUAAUUCCCCUUUUAGAAUCAUUAGUACGUAUUGGUUCCAAGGCAGAAAAGUGUAAGGGCCAGGUAAAGGGGCUUAAUAAAUUGCCCAAUGUCAUAAGGCCAGGAAGUAUCUGAGGCCAGAUUUGAACCCAGAUUUCCCCUCUCUGGGUCUGGUUCUCAAUCCAUUGAACCAUCUACCUGCCCCCAGUAAAACUAUUUUUAAAAAAUAUUUGAUAGGUAAUUUUAGAACCAAAUUAAAGAAAGCAUUAAAAACCAAAGAGACUAAGUACUGGAUUACAAGCAGAAGAUAAUAAUCUGUGCAUACAUACAAGUACAUUUCAGAAGAUAACACAAAGCUAACAAUUAUAAACCUAAACAUGAAUGUUUAGGAAGAGUAGUUUGACUACUCAAGGGGGACAGAAGGAGGAUGAGACAAAGAAGAGAAAAUAGAGCCAUCUAACCCUUACUUUUUGCUUUUUGUUUUGUGCCAAGAGAAUGAAUAAUCUUUGGAUUUGAAAGAAGAGAACAAAAAUGGUUAAUAAAGAUUUAAAACAGAAGGCAAGAGAGCACUUAGCUGCCCUCAGAGAUUUCAAGCCCCUAGAUCUGGAUGAACUAUUUUCCAAGGUACUGAAAUAACUGGUGCACAGAAUCACUGAACUGCUGUAGAUGAUCGUUGAAAAAAAUCUUUGCAAGAGGGAGAGAUAUAAUAAUGAUAAAAAGUAAAUAUUCAAAUUUUCUUUACAAAAUAAAGAAUUAGAAAGUGUCUUUCAACUAUAGACUGAGGAAUUGGAUGUCAAUUUCUGGAAAAAAAAUGUCCAGAAUAUCUUAUUAAAGGGAUGAUCUGUAAUUGUGGAGAAAAAAAGGAAGCAGCAAUUUCUAAGAGGUACUAUGUCUUUAUUGAGGUCAUGCCAGAUUAAUCUCAUUUCUUAUUUUUGGGUACAGCUUUGUUGGAUUAAUCAAUUAGGAAAAUGUUAUGGAAUUAAUAUAUCUGGAUUCCAGAAAAAACAUUUGGAAAUCUUUUCAUGCAUCAUCUUUGUGGAUAAGACACAGAGAUACAGACUAGAUAGUGUUAUAGUUAGGUGUAUUUUUAACUUGUCAAAUGACUUGACUGAUGUCUUUAAUAGUUUGAUGUCAACUUGUUGAAAAUCUCUAGUGGAUUGUUCCCAGGAUUAUUUCUUUGUCCUAUGCCCUUCAAUAUUUUUUAUCAAUGAAAUAGAUGGAAGGUAUAACUAGCAUGCUUAGCACAUCUUAAUUUGGAGGUAUAGAAAACACAUUAUGUGUUAGAGUCAAGAUCCUAAUACAUAUUGGCAUGCAAGAACAAUGGAAUGAAACUACUAAGAUUAAAUUUAACGGAAACAAAUGUAAUGUCCUAUUCUGAGAUUGAAAUAAUCCAUUUCAUAAAUUAAGGACGAAUGGGAGGCUUGGGUAGCCAGAAGUUUUUAUGGAAAGUGUUUUGGAGUUUUAAUGGCCUACAAGUUAAAUUGUAGCAAGCUCAGUCAUGAUGAACAGCUAAAAAUUAAGGCCAUAUUGGGUGUCAAGAGAGGCACAUAAUUUCAAGGAAUAAGGAAGUGAUGACUCCACUAUGCUUUUCCCUGUAAAGCCCAUAUUUGGAAUAUUGUGUUCAGUUCUUCAUGUUCCAUUUUAGGAAGGACAUUGAUCAACUAUAGUACGUCCAGAGGAAUGCAAGUAAGAUAAUGAAAGAUAUAGAAUUAAUACCAUAAGAAGAUCAAUUGAUGAAAAUAGAAAUAUAUAGACUGGAGAAAAGGAAGAAUUUAAAAAUAUAAUCACUCUCUUCAAAUAUUUGAAUGGCUAUUAAUAUGAAAUUGUUCUGCUUGAUCUUAGAGGGAAGAAUUAAGUAGAAACUGCAGAGAGGCAUAAUUAGGCCCAACCUAAGAAAAAAAAAUUCUAAAAUUAGAGUUCUGAAAAAUGAAAUGAGUUUCUUUGGGAGGGCACUAUUUCACCCUCACCAAAAGUCAUCAAGCAGAAGAUGGAAGACCAGUUGUUGAGUAAACAGUGGAAUAAAUUUCUGAUUGUAUAUGGAUUGAGAUAGAUGGUCUCUAAAAUCCUUUUUGGCUUUGAGGUCCUGGGAUCUCUAAGGUAAUAUGAAUUUCCUUUUCCAAGAGAAAAGGAUGAGGAUGAAAAUAAGGAAAAACUACCUGGAAGAGGUAGCUUUAGCCUUGGAAUGUGGAAGGAUAUCUCUGAUGGUAUUUGGAUUAGACUAAUCAUCUUAUUCCCUGCUAAGGUCUUCUUUAAGUAUCUACCAAUAUACCUUUAACUUUGGUUGAAUAUGUUUCUCUCCUCUCUAGACAUAUAUUUUUCUUCACACAUGUACAUAGGACCUUUCCAUAGCAAAAUUUGUUGCUUCAUAGAGUUUAUAGACUGUAGUCAACACAACAUUUCCUAUUGCCCAUAAUUACAUCUAAAUAGGAAUUAUCUAUUUAAUAUCUAAGUCCCAUCUUCUGAUUCCAGAAUGAUAAAAAAGUUCAACUACAUUUCCAAAUGUCAUUUUCUACUACCUUUCUACUCUACCAAUUCACAGUAUAUUUUUCUCCAGGUACAAAAAAUCCCCACAAAACCUAUUUUUACUAUAAUUUUCUACCUUACCAUUUUUUUUGCCUGAUCUAAGAUCCCAUUUUCAUAAGAACAGGUAUCCACAGAUUUAAGUAUAUUCAUUAUAAAUGAUCUUUAAUGUAAAUGUUGCUGGUAGCCUCUGUGGAGGAUGGACAGACUUGCAUGCAAUAAUCUUUCCUCUCUCCCUGUUAGACAUCUGUUGAGACACAUGUCUGGGAAGCUGAGAGCAGUGACUAAAGCAAGCUAAAUGAGGAACCUUCAUGGAGAAUGGAGAUCACAAGACAGUAAAGAAAGAUAGGAUGUGCUCAGAUAUGAGCAGAUAACCCUAGACUUCCAUCUAAUCUUUCACUAAAGUCUUCAACUCUAGGGCCAAACAGGAGUACUAAAAGAGGCUGAACCUUCCAAGAAGCUGAGUAUUUUAGGGGUGUGUAUUCUAAAAUUCCUGGAUAAUGUGGGAAAAUGGAAAGACAAACUAUAUUUAUUCAGGAAUGUGAUGGAUGCUGCUUGAGCUGGUUUAGUUUCCUAAUUUUCAGACUAGGUAGGGGCAAGGAGAUGAUAUAAAUUAUCACUAAAAGUCCCCAUGAUUCCCCCUAGAAUCUUCAUUGGUACACAGGUAACCAUGAGCUCAGAACACAUUGAAUUGAAAGUAGGAAACAGAUUUGUUUUGCAUAUCCCCAAAGCAUAAAUUGAAAGUGUUUUUAAGCUAGAGCCCAUCAUAUGUUAAAUGGAGGCAAAGUAUGGUAAUAUCUUCUUUCUUCAUCAUAAAUGCCCAGACCAAAAAACAAACAAACAAAGGCAGAGGAAAGAAGAAGAGAGAGCUAAAUUUUGAUUUAGAAAAAAAAUUUGCCUCAAUCUGAGGAUGGCAUUGGUCAUAAGAGUGGCAAUUUCUUCCCCAGAUACCUCUAGGCAAACUUGAUUUCUAUAGGUAUCUGAGUGAACAUGUAUUCUCAACAAUAACAAAGAUUGUUCUCUCCUGACUCUUUUAUUAAAUGGAAUCUUCCUGAACUCAGGGUCUAGGGCAUGUCUAAUAUUGCAUUCCUACUGUUUAACACAACCUGCUAGAGAAAGAAAGCAUUUGGUAAGAGAUAAAAGAUGUUUAACUGAAUUGAAUUGCAGAGGGUCAGAAAAAGGAGGAUUGGCUGAGAAGAGGAAGAUUCUGGAAUCUGGCUGGGAGCUACAGUAGGCUUUUCUGUUGUAUUGCUAUUCUCAAAGUGCUAUAGGACAAGAAGCAUUUUUCUUGACUCACAGUUUUUAGCUUAUACUAUUGAAUUCUUUCUUUGGGAACAAAAUUCCAAUUCUCCAGUGGAAAUCAUUAGGGAAAAGAAUCUCCUCUGCUGAAAACUUCUGAAGUAGAACUGGUUGCCCAACAAACUAGUUUGCUUGAGUAGCUUGUGGAUAAUGGUGGUGCUGAACCAUUACCUUUAUGGAAUUGAUUUUCUUAUAUGGCUCAAAUAACUGGUUCCAAAAGAAACUUACACAAUGGAAAUGUUAUGUGCUCCAGUGAACAUUCUUCAAGUUUUAUGGAAUAUCUACCAGCUUAAAAUGUGAAAUCUUAUAACUUAGGCACAAUCUUAGAUCAAUGACAAAAUUAGCUAGAUUAUUACCAUAGAGUGAAUUUAGUCAAAUUCUCCCUCAAUUGCUAAAUCUCCUUUGUAUCUUGAAAGGAUAAUCUUCUAUCCCUUAUGUCUCUUUUUUAAAGUGCCUAUAAAGGGAGAAGUACAAUAAGGGGCAAUUCUUGGCUAAGAACAGGAUAAAGCAAAAAAUAAAUCUAUCUAGAUUACAUUAUUAUUAGGUUGAAGUAUAAAAUUCAGAAAAAUCUAAAUAUGUUCAGUAUUUGUUAUCUGUCAUCAUAUCAAUAAUGUCCCUUCAUUAUCACUGUUCCACCCAAUUUAUUCAGAUCUUAAUGACUGAGAUUUACAUGACAGAAGACUGCCUAAAUGAUGAAUCUGCUUCUGGAGGUAUGGAAUGACAGGUAAUAGAGAACCUUUCCCUCCACUGUGGAAAGUCAUCACCGAGUCUCUCCAUACAUUUUGGCAACAGAACUAGGGCCAAAGUUCCACUUGUUCAGAAUCCCAGACCUGAAGUCAAGAACAUCUGAGUCCAAAUAUGUCCUCAAAGGUUUUCUAGUUGGUCAAUCCUGUGCAAAUCAUUUAACUUCUGUUUGCCUCAGUUUCUUUAUCUGUAAAAUGGAAUUAAUAAUAGCAUCUACUUCCCAGGGUUGUUAGAAUUAAUGAGAUAAUAAUUAUAAAGCAUUUAGAAUAGUUCCUAGCAUACACUUAGUAGUACAUAAAUGUUCUUAUUUGUUAUUACUAUACAUGUGAAUUAAUUUUCCUCAGUUUCCUUAAUGUCCUUAUAUGCAAAAUGGAAUCAGUAGAUUAGAUGACCUCAAAGGCUCUUCUAGCUCUUAUCCUUGAGUUAGUAUUAAGCCACAUGAGCCUAAGAAGAGGAGUCGCAUAGUCAGACUUGGAUUUAGGACUGGGUUGUCAAGGCUCAUUUGGAGAGAGGAUAGGAGAGUGAAAUUUAAAAAGGCCUUUAGGAUGAUCUGUGCUAAAUAUUGUGCUUUAGGGAAUAUAUGCACUUUACACAUGGUGUCUUUCAUUUUAAGAAUAAUAAUAGCUUCCUUUAUAUAGUGCUUUAAAAUUUUUCAAAGCAAUAUGCAAAUAUUAUCUUAUUUUUUUCCCAAUGACAACUUUAGGAGGAACCCGCUAUUAUUUUCCCAAUUUUACAGACAAGGAAACUGAAGUGGACAGAGGUUAACUGGUUUACUAAGGUUGAUAUGGCUAAUAAGUGUAAGAGGCAGAAUUAGAAUUCAGGUCUAAACUGACUUUAGGUUUAGCACAAUGGUCUUGAGCAAUAUUUAUAAUAUUCUAGGUGUGUAAAAUACUUUUCUAGGACUUCAGAUUAUAUAGAAUAUGUGAAUGGAGAAAUAAGAUUUAGCAGUGUAUUAUACAUGGGAGGCAAGUAAGACUGAGAUGUUUUUGGAUGACUUCAAGGAUGUAGGCCCAAGAGAAUGAGAAGAUGCUGAUACUCUAGAUCAGCAGUUUUCAACCUGUGGGUCACGACCCCGGCGGGGGUCAAAAGACCAAAACACAGGGGUCGCCUAAAGCCAUCGGAAAAUAUUUCCGAUGGCUUUAGCUGCUGAGAAAUCAUGCUACUUUACAGCAAGAUCUCAGAAAGAACGGGGACCCUGCUGCCCACACAUUGUACUAAUAUUAGUUACUUAUCAGCAGCCCUCCCCCUAUGAGGGGUGAUGGAUUUACCCUGUUGCUUAGAGACGGGACUCAAACAGAGACCCAGAGAGAGGACCCAGGCACUGUCUCCAGAGGGGUUAAGAACAAGUCCUGGAGUGGAUCACUCCUGGAGCAGAUAAUGGAGCAGAGUAACCCCAGCAAAGUGAAGCCUCAGCUUGAGCUGAAGGGAGAUGACAGGAAGUAGAAGGCAGUGUCUGCGGACCCCCCUCCCCAGGCAGGACUUAACUCCCGCCCCAGCUCUCAGGCUGCCUCCUGCUGGAUUAAUAUUUCUCAACAUAUAAUUAAAUAUUGUUUUUGUGAUUAAUCACUAUGUUUAAAUUAUGUUUGAUUUGUAGCAAUGAGAAUACAUAAUGCAUAUCAGCUAUUUACAUUCUGAAUCAUAACUGUAGCAAAAUUACAGUGUUGAAGUAGCCACCAAAAUAAUUUUUUGGUUUGGGGUCACUGCAACAUGACGAACUGUAUUGUGGGGUCACGGCAUUAGAAAGAAUGAGAACCACUGCUCUAUAUAAUAAAGGGAAGUUGGAAAGAGGGAAUAAUUGGGAGAAAAGGAAAUUACUUCUUUUCUUACAUAAGCUUACUCUUUUUUCCAGAUUAUGUGUCAUUACAAUUUUCAAUAACUGUUUUCUGACAUUUAGCAAUCCAUGUUAGUUCUUCUUUUUUGAACACAUUGAGCUUAAGAUUCUUAUAGGGCAUUCCAUCUAAAAUAUUCAGAAGACAGUUGGUAAUGUGAAACUGCAAUUCAGAUGAAAGUCUAGGCCAGGAUAUAUAGGUCUUGGACUAAUUUAAAUAGAAUUUAUAACUGAGCCCAUGGGAAUUCGUGAGAUUUAAUAGGGAGUUGCAAGUUCCUCCUUUUCAAGUAAAAUAAUCCAGAACUAAAAAAGGGGUGGUUCAGGAUGGAGCCUUGAGGGACACUCAUAGUUAGUGGGAAUGACAUGGGUUAAUAAUGAGCAAAGUCGACUGAAAAGGAGCAAGUUGGAUAGGAAGAGAGCCACCAGGUAAGAGUUUAUUUUGACAACCCAGUGAGGAGAGAGAAUCCAAGGGAAGGUGUGUCAACUAUUACAGAAAGGUCAAAAAGGAUUAGGAUCAAAAACUAUUCUAUUUAUCACUUAAGAAAUUGUGAGUAAUUUGGCUGCAGGGGUAAGUUUCAGUUGAAUAAGGUCAGAAGUCUAAUAAGACUAAUAAGAGAAGGCUUAGAAGAGAAUAAGAGAGAAAGUAGAGACACGGGAUGUACAUAGCCUUUUCUGGAAAUUUAACCACAAAGGGAGAAGAUAAGAUCAAGUGAGGAUUAUUGCCAGUUUUGUUGUUGUUGUAGCUUUUGUUUGUAGAAUAGAAGAGACCUUGGCAUGUUUUUAGAAAGCAGGAAAGGAGCCAGUAAAUAGAGAAAUAUUAAAGGGGUGUGUGUGACAGAAAAAGCCAGAUACACACAGAAAGGCAUAGUAAUAGUGGAGGACAAUCUGAAGUGUUGAGGAGACAGAGUCAAUGAUCAGGGAUGCAUAUAGAGGGCUUGGCUUUGGCAAGAAGAGGAGCCAUCACUAUUCAUUAUACCGGUAGCAUUUAUAUAGCAUUUUAAAGUUUUCAAAGUAUAUUACAAAUAUUAUCUCAUUUAAUCUUCACAAUCUUGGGAGGUAGUUGCUAUUAUUAUCCUCAUUUCAAGUUGAGGAAACUAAGGCAGAAAGAGAUUAAGAGAUUAAGGUCACAUUGCUAAUAAGUGUCAGAGGUGGAAUUCGAACUCAGCUUUUGACUUCAAGGUUCAUUGCUUUAGUUAUAGUUUUACCUAUUUGCCUUUUCAUCCAAGAAAGAAGGAAGAGAUGGUAAGGGAAGAUACCUGAAUGAUUUGAGCUAAGGAGAAAGCAGAAGAGAGAGCUCUCAGGAAACAUCUUUAGUAAUUUACCCAGUGUUUUUUGGAAAAGCUAUGAGAAGAAAAUAAUUCCUCUCUUGCUGGGGAUCUGCAUCAGCAAAGUCAUCUAUCACUUGGAGGCUAAAAGAUCAAGUCAAUUUGUUAAUGAAAUAUCUAUCAAGUAAACAGGAAGGAGGACCAAAAUUCACAGCAAACCCCUAAAGACCUGUACUCUUCUGGUGUGGGCUAACCACAUUAAAAAAAAGAGUGGGAAGGAAACACUGAGUAAGCCUCAAUGGAUUGUCUCCACGAAAUCAGAUUUUUGUGUGAGAUGGGGAUAACUUAAGGUGAAACUGUUUAGGAAAAUAAGAUGAGAAGACUCAAGGCAGGAAGUUUCUGACAAAUAUCUCAGCAUCUUCAAAGUUCUGAUAGUCCCUUAACCUUUUCAAACCUGCAAUGUCUCAGACCUCUUGUAAAGUGGGAAUCCAUAUUUACUAAGCUUAUUUUGCAUAGAACCCUUCUCAGACACACCACCCAAUUGUUAAAAUAUACUAAUUUGAACCAAACCCUUCCCAAAAUUUGGACACCUCCCUGUAAAGCAACCUUUUCUAAAUUUUCAGAGAUGAUAUCAGUUCCUCUUUGGUCACCAGGUCUGGUGUUUGUUCUUCAUUUGAAUUGUUAAGUGUCCCAGAGAAGGUGAUUCCUAUAUUCAAACUGGACACUUGAAAUGGCAAGAGCCCUAAUCAGUCUCAGGUGUUUUUGCUGUUUCUGAAUGGCCAUCAAGGGAAAUGUUCUUCUUAGCUAUUUUUGGAAAUGCAAUAGAAAAGAGAAAGGGAAAAAUAAUUUCCUUAAGAAAACCUUUAAGUCCAACUUUUGAUCUUUCAAAGUUACCAUUUUCAUCAGUUCUCCUACUUCCUUUGUCUUUUGACCAUGUGGGAAUAAUUUUGCCUCUGCCUCAGUUUCAACCUCUGUAAAGAGGUUUGAACUCAAUGGGCUUUAAGGAUGCUUCCAAUUGGUUUAUAGAAAAUGUUCUUUUCCUACACAGAGUAAAAGUUGCUAUGAAAGCUGGCUUAUUAGUUUGCCUACAUGUAACUAACCCAGAUGCUUGUCAUUGGCCUUCUUUACAACCUCAUUAGAAAAAUAUUUAUUUGACUGAUUCAACCUUAGCUCAACAACUUCUUAUGCCAUACCUUGAAUUCUGCAGUUAUUUUUACUGAAAGACUAUGUCAUAGCCAAUUCUAAAAUCAUUUAGGAUUAAUAUUGGAACCAAGUAUUGAGAAUAUUGACAAGUAAAUUAGACUAAGCUAGGACCAUGGUGCAUUGUGACCCAUAUUGUUGUUGUUUCUCCUUUGUUUUCAAAAAGUACCAAUGACAUCAUGGUUGAUGUCUUGACUUGUACAUGAAUUGGAUUUGAGUGAGAUGGAGUUGUAUAAAUACUGUAACUGACUUACAAAUAUGUUAAAGAUUCCAUGACUAUCUAUUUAAAUAUUUUGAGUAGAAGCCAUAGUUCUUGUUCUUUGUCAAUCUUUGAACUUCAAUAUCCCUUAAAUAAAAACUCUUAGAUCUUUCCUUUUAUCAGAAAAAGUCUUAAUUAAAAAUUUAAAGCUAUAAUUCCAGAAGAGAGGCUUUUUAGAAUAAAGGAAAAAAGGCUUGGCGUGGUGUCUAGAAAGCCUGGGUUCAAUGCUGUUUCUGAUAUAAAUUACUUACAGGGCCAUAGAUAAAUCAUUUAAACUAUAAGUGUUUCAGUCUACUCUCUUAAGGUACUCUCUUAAAAUACAGAUUAGUUGCUUAUGUAUAUUCAUAUGGAAGGGUUUACAAUCUGAGAUCCCCACAUCAAUGAAAUCACUAGUGUGGGGUAUGGGGACAUUGAUUUAAAAUUUUAAUUUAGCUUUUGGUUUAUUUAAAUUAUAGUCCUGAUAUGAGAUAAUGUGGAACUAAGAUUGAUUAGUUACUGCAAAUGAAUGAAUUCCAGAGACAUUGCAGACAUUUGUAGAAGGCAUUGUUUUCUAGUUACAAUUACUUAUAUAGAGCUUAUAUUUACUUUAGUUUAUACUUGUUACACUGUUUAUAUCUAGUUUAUAUUUGUUCUAUAUCAUUUGCUCAUUGAUUUUGCCCUAAGAAUAAAUACUGUAGACAGUGUGUAAGGAAGAAAACAAAAAGAAAAAAAAAUAAUUACAGAGAAAUCAAAUUUGUGAUUUAGUAAUGAUUUGCUUAGCAAAAGCAGACAAGAAGAAUACCAAUUAAAUAAAAAAAAAAACAACUCUGUGUUUGAAAUGAGUGUAAUUCCCAAGAUUUUGUUUUCUAUUUUGUUGGUUAUUGGAUGGUAGGAUGAUAACAGAAUUCGGAAACAGUUCUCAGCAAAUCAACUAAUGCAAGUCAUAGGGUGGGUGUAGACUUUUCAAGGAAGAAAGAGGCAGCUUGACUGUCAUUUCAGUCUAUAACACUGUUAGCUUCAAAUCAAGGACCAAAAUUAAAGGAUAUCAAGUAAAAGGAACAACAGCAAGUCAUUCUAACCAUGACCCCCUGUCUCAUUGUCCUACCACAGUUCACACUGUCAAAAAACCCCAAACACCAUUUUAUAGAUGAAUACAUUGAGACCCAGAGAAGUGAUAAUGAGAAAAGUGCCUCAUAAAAGAAUUUAAAAAAUCAUUUUAGUAUCAAAAUUUGUUUCAAUAAACUUUUGAAUUUGUCUUUCUGAAUUCAUUGCUUAUUCUCUAGCUUGAAUUUCAUUUCCAGGUUUCCCUGAAACAUUUCAGCCCCAAGUUUCUUUAAAUCUAGUCACCUGAUUAAUUAGCAUUUCAAUGCUUUAAGGGAAAAAACCAAACAAACUAAAAAUCCUAUUAUUUGAACAGUUGAACCUGGGAGUAGAGAGAGGAUCAGUGUUGCUUUUUUGAGGGAAAAGUACACUGUACUGAGAGUUAGGAACAUUGGGGUUCAAAUCCAGAUCUUCCCCAAUUUGCUAUGAAGCCUUAAAUAGCUCCCCUUAUUUCUGGAGUCUCUUUUGUCCAAUCUGGGGGAGGGGGUCAAGGAAGAGAGAUUCAGCAUUUCUAGUGGAAAUAAUAGAAAGGGAAAUAUCAUUCAUGAUGACUAUAUAAUGUGGAAAACAUCUAUCAGCUGAUCUAAUAAGACACAUUCAAGAAACAAAUCCACAAACUUAAAAAAAAAAGAAAUUAAGAAUGAAUUUAAAAGAUUGCAGGGAUAUUCAUUACUUUUGGUUGGGUCACACCAGUAUAAUAAAAACAGUACGAGUACCUAAAUUAAUUUAUACAUUCUGGGCUAUACUAAUCACACUUCAAAAGAGGUGUUAUACAAAACUCUACAAAAUGGUAACACAAUUCAUUUGAAGGAACAAAAUGAUCAUGAGUCUCAAGGGAAAUGAAAAAAGUAGAAAUAGAGAGAGAUAUCUAGACUUACAAUCACAUUAUUAUUCAGCAAUCAUCAAAAGGAUUUGCUACUGUUAAAAAAGUAAAAUAGAUCAGUGGGACCACUUUAUAAUUAGAAAACAAUCUCAAUAACUUAGGGUUAAAUAAAAUAGAGAACAUAAACUACAGUGGAAAGUUCUCCUCAUUUUACAAAAAUUACUGAGGAAACUGAAAAGUGGUUUAGCAAAAACAAAAACAACUCCUUGACACCCUUUAAGAUUUUGACUAGAAGUUCUUAACCUAGGUAUCAAGGGUUCCAUGCAUCUACUUCAGAUUGUCUGUGAACUUGGAUGAGAAAAAAUUCCCAUUCAUAUUUUUUUACCAAUGUUUGACUGAAAAUUAGCAUUUUCAUCCCUCAUAAGUAUAAAGAAAAUCAAAUACUAUUCUAAAAAGGGGCCUAUAGGCUUGCUCAUCCAGACUGCCAAAAUCACACACACACACACACACAAGAUUAAGAACUCCUAAUUUAGACUAUCGUCUUAUAUUACAUACUUCAGAUAGUUCUAAAUGUAUACUCAAGGAGGAAGAUGAAUGGAGGUAUCUUUCAGUUAUGUGUAAGGGGAGAAUCUUAGCAAACCAAAGGACAGAAGAGAUAACAAAAUUAUGAUAGUUAAUUUUCAUUACAUGAAAUCAAAAAGCUUUGCACUAACAAAAUUAAUGCAGUUUUAGAUAAAUUUUUGUAAACUCUGUUGGACAAGAUCCAUACCCUUUGAUCCAUAGAUCCUACUAAUAGGUAUAUACAUCAAGGAAAUAGAAGACAGAAAGGUCCCAUAUACAAGAAAAAUUCAUUGAAGUGUUUUGUUUUGGUCUUUUUGUGGAAGCAAAAAAAUAGGGAAUGGUAGGCACUCAUCAAUUGGGGAACAGCAAAACGUGGUAGGAAAUUAAUAUUAUGGAAUGUUAGGAAUGACAAAUAUUAAGAAUUCAGUAUAUCAUGGGAAGAUAUGCAAAAUCACCAAAGCCAAGAAAAACAAGAAAAUCAAUGACUAUAGCAAAAGAAAGAACAACCAAAUGAACCUUAUUGUUGUUUAAUUACAAUGACCAAACCUUUUCCUAAGAAGAGGUUAGAAACUAUACCUCUUACAUUUUACUGUAGAGAUGGGGUAUGAUAUGUUCAGGCAAUUAUUAGACAUAGAGUAAGACAGUUUUUGAGUUAUUUGGUUUUGGUGAACUUUUUCUUAUUUUUUUCUUUUUCAAUCUUUGGUACAAGGGAAGACUUACUGGACAAGAAAGAGGAGGAGGGACACAUUCAGAGAUAAAUUAACUAUCAAAACAAUAACAUCAAGAAAAGUUAAGAGAAAAGGAGAUCAGAGGAGUAGAUGAUCUCUUAAUAUUCUUAAUACUUAAUACAUAAGUUUAAAUAUCACUUCACUCACAUCAAACAGAGAAAUAUAUCCUCAAAAUGGAACUAGUCACUAUGGAUUUUUCUUUGAGGGGAAAAGAAAUACUUAUUAAUAGAUGGUUGAUGAAGUGUUGGAUUUUUCCAGCCAUUCUGAAAAACAAUUUGGAUUUAUAUAAUAGUAGUCACUAUGUAUACUAAGAUUAUACACCCAAGGAGAACAAAGACAAAAAGAACCUAUACAUACAGCAAAAUAUUCCUAAUCUCACUUGUGUGCUUGUCAAUUGGGAAAUGAAUAAACAAAUUGUGAUAUGACAACAUAAUGGGAAAUUAUUAUUUCAUAAGAAAUAUGGGAAAUUCACAAAAUCAUGGGUAGAUUUCUAUGAACUAUUGGUGUCCUUUUAUCACAAUGUUUUCUAUUGGUUCAUGAUUAAUAAAUUGCUUGUUGGAAUGGCUUGGAAAGUGAAUUAAGCAAAAUCAAGUGAAGAAUAUAAACAAUGACUACAAUAAUAUAAAUGAAAAGGACACUAAAAGGAAUCCAAACUCUGAAUAAUUAUAAUGAUCAAUCUUGGUCUCAGAAAACAGAUGAUAAUCUGAGUCAUUUGGUAGAGAAAUGGAUAACUAGUGUAUGUAUUGAACCAAACUUUUUUUUUUUAAUUUUUAAAAGGGAGUGACCAAUGAUGUGUUUGGUAGAGUAAGUACAGUUGGAGGAAUAAUGUGAUAUAAAAAUUUGACAAAGUAUUUAAAAGAAAAAAAUUAAGCAUUAAUUUGGGAGCAGAUAGAACAAUUAUCUAAACUGAACAUUCUGCAACUCAUUCCUAAGAAUUCUCUUUUAACUGGCCUGUCUUCAUAGUGUUUUUGAUUAAUAAUAUAUAUAGGGAGGCAAAUUGGAGAUUGGCUCUGGGUGAAGGUGAGAUGGAUAAGACAUAGUAAUGUCAGCAGAAAGAGUGAUCUAAGCCAAAGUUGGAGUUAAAGGAUUUUAACCUUAGGUAGGCAUUUGGAAGGGUUGAGAAAAAUAUGAAAAAUGAAACAGGCAGAACCAAAAGAACAUUGUGUACAGCAACAAAUGUUCAAAAGAUGACUUGUAUAUGCCUGCCUCCAGAAAAAGAACUGAUAAAUAAGUAAGGCAUAAUUUAAUAUAUACAUAUAUAUUUUUGCCACAUGAUGCCAUCUCAAAUGGGGGGGUAUAAGAGUAGAACUUAUUUUUAAUAAAAUAAAAAGCAAUGAAUUUAAAUUAAAAAAGAAAAA